UACGUAGGGUGCAAGCGUUAAUCGGAAUUACUGGGCGUAAAGCGUGCGCAGGCGGUUGGGCAAGACAGAUGUGAAAUCCCCGGGCUUAACCUGGGAAUGGCAUUUGUGACUGCCCGGCUAGAGUGUGUCAGAGGGGGGUAGAAUUCCACGUGUAGCAGUGAAAUGCGUAGAGAUGUGGAGGAAUACCGAUGGUGAAGGCAGCCCCCUGGGAUAACACUGACGCUCAUGCACGAAAGCGUGGGGAGCAAACAGG
rnacentral:rRNA from 1 species